CUGGGACCCACAGGAAUUCCCUCCCUUCAGUCCCGGGGGGAGGCGGCCGCGAUCCUGGGGGAGGCGCAGCCUCACAACCCGGACUUUGCGGGCGGGCGGGCACUGGUGAGAAGAGGAAGUGGGAGAGGCCUGGGAAGGAAACUUGGAAACCGAAAACUCGGCGGCCGAGGCUCCGUGCCCCGCGCGCAGCGCUGCUCCUGCCCCGGCCAAGGACGCACGGGCCAGCCGGCGGAACCAGAGGUUUUCAGUGAUGUUGAGAGUCAACAGGAAAUUAAUCAGCAAGUAGAAAAUUGAAAGAAGAUCUGCAUCUUACUGCAGGAGUCAUUAAAAUAAAAGCAGAUUUGGCAAAAUGGCAAGAACCAGAGGAUGAGGAUGUAAAACAAAAACUUUUGGAGUCAUUUUGCCACCAGGAUGAAAAUAGGAUGAAGCUGACAUGACAAAGGUGCAGGUGUUCUGAUAUGAGAAGAACUUCUUCAGAAGGUAUCUUAAUGCAUAUGGGGAAACUGAGGCCCAGUUGUCAUAGCCUUCUCCAGCAUGUGUUCCUUCUGUAUUUCAGACAUGGCAGAGGAGACACAGCAAUAACUAAGGGGCAACUAUUGCAUCCAGAAAAAAAAAAAAUGAAGAUAAUGACUUCUCUGCAACUAAGAUGAAGAUCCACUGAACUUUGGGGUUUGAAAUGCAACGUUAGAACUUCAGACUCCCGGCACCUAGGUCUCCAGCUGCUGGGUGGUGCCAGCAUCAGAGAUACACUCUGCAAAACAUAUACUGUCUUAGGAAAAAGUGACCCUGUUGUCCUUUCAGGCCCAUAUUCCACAAGAAGACAAAUGGAGAUGUAAAAGGAAAACUGCAGCUCCGACUGAAGAGAGAGCAAGUUGUCUGUUCUGAUACAGCCAGGAAAUAAGAUGUUCUGGUUAAUAUGUGCUAAAGAUGUGGUGCUGACUUUCCGACUCAGAAUAUGAUCACAUGUUUUUCUCAUUAAAACUAUAUUGAAUAUUAUUUGACCAUUGUUGAGUCAGUCAUCUUGAUAAAUAUUAUCUUCGUACAGUCCUGAGCAGAGAGUCAGUGACUAGAAUGCCACUGAAACCAGCUUUUUAUAGGACACGGUUUUCAUGGUUUUAGGGCAUGGAGAAACUU
rnacentral:lncRNA from 10 species